CUCCAAUGAUAGCCAUGCUCCAGCUGGGACCCGCUCCAUUAGCUGAGUCCCCGAGAGCUCAAGAGCACAGCUAGAGUGAGCUGAAGUGGUCAUCUCCCAUGAUCAAGUGGAAAAUCUCUGAUGGACAUUUCAGUGUCCAAUAGACUGCACCAUCUAGAAGAUCAGGGAACUUGAGUCCUCCUGCACUGACACACCUUAUAUAACAGGCUAUGUCCCUGGAACCCGCUGGUCUUGGGGCUGUGGGCACAGUGACUAUUUCUUGGCGGAGAACAGAUUUCAAGCAGGAACUUGCUCUGUAGUCACCCAACAGGGUCCAGAAUCUUGCCUGCUCACAGGUGAUGGGUUUUUGUGCCACUAGCUUCUGGAAGGCCAAGAGGAAGUACACACAGUAUUUUUAUUAUAGGACUGUCCUUAAAACAUAGCCCGAGGAGCCUGUGGUUUGAAUUAUAGAGUGUCUCAGGAGAACUUCUGGCAUCUGGUUUGACAAUCAUCUUUUUAAAAAAUGUAGUCUUUUGUGAGCUUGUGACCCAAAAUGAUAUGGUAAAACUAAUGCUGGAGACUCACAGUGGCUUAAGUUGCAAUAGUUAUGCAACUAAGAGGAGAGAAUAAAGGAGUUUGGACACUGGAUGGAAUUUAAUAAAAUUUAGUAGAAAAUGGAAGCCCCAUCUAUUGUCUACCGCAUAAUUCCCAGAACCUGCGAAGAUGACCUUAUUUGGAAAAAGGGGCUUUGCAGAUGUAAUUUGAGCUAAGGGUAAGGGUCUCAAGAUGUGGAGAUCAUCCUGGAUUAUCUGGUAAAUCCUAAAUCCAAGACAAGUGUCCUCAUAAGAGACAGACAAGGGGGAUCCCUGGGUGGCGCAGCGGUUUAGCGCCUGCCUUUGGCCCAGGGUGCUAUCCUGGAGACCCGGGAUCAAAUCCCACGUCGGGCUCCCAGUGCAUGGAGCCUGCUUCUCCCUCUGCCUGUGUCUCUGCCUCUCUCUCUCUCUCUCUGUGUGACUAUCAUAAAUAAAUUAAAAAAAAAAAAAAGAGACAGACAAAAGAAGAGGAAGCCAUACAGCUGUGAAGGCAGAGAUUGGAGGAUGCAGCCACAAGCCCAGGAGCACCAGGAGCCGUCAGGAGCUAGAAAGGACAAGGAACGCAUUCCCUCCUAGAGCUUCUGGAGACAGCUUGGCCCUGUUGAAAUCUUGGAUUUGGACUUCAGGCCCCCAGAACUGUGAGUGAAUAUAUUUCUGUUAUUUUAAGCCACACAAGUUGGGAUGAUUUGUUGUGAAAGGUGCGGGAAACUAAUUACCUGUCUGUCUCCUCGUAAUAUCCUCCCUGUAUUCCUGGUUUUGCCAGUUUGUUCUUACCUCUUAAUUGUAUAUAUUUAAUUAUCCCAUGAACUGUCAAAAUUGUCUACCUAUUAACCGGAAAAAAAAAUCAUACAUCCUAACUACGCUCAAUUUGAAGCAACAUUUGAUUUCUGUACUCACAUAUGU